ensembl:lncRNA
CAAAAUUUAGGUGUGUAAGAAAUGAAAAUGCUGAAACCAUAAUUAUGCUAGAGAAGGUUUUUUUAAAAUCUAAUUUUGUUGAUGAUUUGACAUGUUCUUGAAGUGUACACCUAACAAACCAUUUUGAUCAUUUGAAUCUUUCCAAUUUGAGCACAUAGUAGCUGUACUUGUGUCACACCCAGGGGCUGGCUAUGCUUUGACUAAGCCACACCCCUUCUCAACUUCCACCUCGAGGAGGUCCCCAAAGCCAACCCAAUGGCCAAACAACACGAGAACAAGUAAGUGAUAAAACAAUCUUUAUUUAAAUAUUUAAAAAUAGCUUGGGGAAUAGGGAAAGGGCAAUUAAAACUAAACUCUGACUCGGCCCUCCAGAUGGGCUAUGGCCGGGAAGAGGUCAGGGAGCAAGGGGGCCACGGGGAUCCGGGGCGUGGGACUCGGGCCCCGGCCUGAGUCUUAGGUAUCCGUAGCGCCCUCCUUCUUCCUCCUCUUCGCUGAUUACAGCUCACAGUAAGUACUGGUUCACACAGUUCGUUCCUUGGGUGCUCACUCUCUUUCUCCACAGGCAACGGCUGGGACACACAGGCACAGUUAGUUCAGCUUGGUUUUGCUCUCACCUCUUCGCUGAUUACAGCUCACAGUAAGUACUGGUUCACACAGUUCGUUCCUUGGGUGCUCACUCGCUUUCUCUUUCUCCACAGGCAGCGGCGUAAGUACAGGUUUCCUCGGUCUCUCCUCGUGUUACCCACUCUCUCUCCUUUUCUCUCCACAGGUAUCAACUUGGGCACAAUAGCACAGUUAGUUUGCUUUGAAUGGCUCUCACCUCUGGGCUGGACACAGCGUACUGUGCUAUCUCCGGAGAUCUGAAGCACGCUCACAACAUAUACUGUACUGAACUAGGCUAGGACCAGCAGUCUCCUUGUCCUCCCGCGACGAAGUGCGUGAAGGCGGGGGUUUAUCUGACAGGACACACGGCAAUACACAGCAGCCCACAGCAAUAUACAGCACCACGUCAAAAUUAUAGGUUUUCACAGCAUGAAGACUCACCCCCCACACUCAGUGUACGAAAAGGACACCCGUCUUCCUUCACUUCGCUUGGUUCGGAUCUGGCGAUGGAAUAUGCGGCCUAGCUAGUGAUGUCGUCGUUGUGACUACUUCAAUAAGUAUUCCUUCGGCUCUCCCACCACGCUAUAUUAGGGGUAGGGCCGCCCUCCUCCUCCUGGAGAGAUCUACACAACGCCAGGUCAAUAUACAGGGCACUUUCGACUGGCUCUUAGUACUCACAUCAAUGCCGCUUCCAAUCCCCUUUUUCACGUCGUCUCAGUUCGCCGUAUAAUCCGUUCACUUCUCAACCUUUAAGGUUCGCGAUGUCUUCACAAUCAUACAAUUCCAGCCUGAGGGAGAGAGAGAGUUAGACAGUCGCCAGAAGCGCACCAAGACGGGCACAACACAGUGCUUCACACACACCAGAAAGAGCGCCCAGACUGUGAAAUAACUUGGCCUUAAGUACUGCCUUGUCCAGCGUAUCCUCCAAUCACCAACCGCUGUCCCUAACUAGGCACAGGUGCAUCGAAUUCCCUGAUUUUCCUUCUUACGGCGCUACCGGAAAUUCCGGUGUUCUGUUUUUCCGGUCCGGGCGGAAACACUUCCGGGCGGAACCAAACUUCCCGAAUUUUGGUUCCGCCCCUAAAGAUCGUCACCUUGUGACACUUGCAUGACUUGCAAGCUGCUCGGGGGCGUUACUGUGAUGGCCGCAGAGUGGACUGACUUCCUAUAAAAGGCUUUGAUAAAUACUGACAGAGAUUGACAGUCAAGACUGAUAGUUUUCAAAUGAAAUUGUCAGUGUCUAAAACAUGCGGUAGGAUCAUAAACUACUGCUCAAGCCUUUUAAACUGAAGCUUUCACAUGGUAUCUGUCUCAUCUGCCAGCUAUUUUCUCUACCUGCUGGCAACUUUGUCAGUGUGACUUACACCAUCACUCAGUCUUUAGGAAGCCUUGCCCCA